UGUAGGCUCAAAUGCUUGGGAUGGAGAAAACUUUGCCAAAUGUGAAUUGUGAAAUUUGAUGAUCAUCGACUAUUUUGCCUUGCAGGGACUGAACCCAAUCUGGAUCAAUUUUGAGUGAUAUUGGUGGGAUUUCAGGUAUUUGUAGUGGGCGGUAAAGGAUCGGAAAGGGUAUACCCAACAACAACUUGACGAGGUCCGCAUUGAAGUAGCCGACUACUUACAGACUCUGUUGUAGGUUCUGACCAGUUUCUUGAUUUUGAGUUAGUUUUAACUAACUUUUUUGUAGCAAUUAUGAACAAACAAGAAUACUAAUUGCUAGGCUAGCCUUGUAGUAUAUAGGUGCAUAUAUGAAUUGGGGUUUUAUUUUGCCCAUUUUGUAAACUGUUAAGGAUGAUGAAUGUCGGAUAUAAUACCCCAAUUUGCAAUUUAUAAUCACAGUUCUAUUUUGUGGACA